rfam:Aedes aegypti strain Liverpool supercont1.651 genomic scaffold, whole genome shotgun sequence.
GGCUCGGUAGCUUAGUUGGUAAAGCACUCGUCUAGCAUACAAGAAGCGUGAGUUCAAAUCCCACUUGAGCAC